CACGUAGGGACCAAGCGUUGUCCGGAUUCAUUGGGCGUAAAGAGCUCGUAGGCGGUUCGGUAAGUCGGGUGUGAAACCUCCAGGCUCAACCUGGAGACGCCACCCGAUACUGCCGUGACUAGAGUCCAGUAGGGGAGCGUGGAAUUCCUGGUGUAGCGGUGAAAUGCGCAGAUAUCAGGAGGAACACCGGCGGCGAAGGCGGCACUCUGGGCCGGUACUGACGCUGAGGAGCGAAAGCGUGGGUAGCAAACAGG
rnacentral:rRNA from 1 species